AGGCACUGAAGAGGAAAGAAGAGAAGGACAUUUAGUGAAUAAAGUCAGGCAAAGUGAAGGGCAUUAAGGUUCAAAGUGACAGAGUAGAUUAACUGCUUGCAAAGAUGAACAAGGGUAUUCUUUCGUAUUAUGGUUCUUGUGGUGGCAAAGCUGCUUCAAAGAAGUUUGUAUCAUGUUUAGUUCUUGUUGAAAGAUAUAUAUAAACAAGAACAUUCCACUGAUCAUUGCAAAAGGUUAAAGUUCAACCAGCACAGCCAAAGGUUAUAAACUGCUGCCUGGAAGUGGGAAUGAGCAGCAAAUUUCUGUCUGGCUUCAUAAGGAAGAAUGGAAAAAGGCAGCAAUCAUCUCCAGCAAGGAAGGAUGGUUAUGUGGCUGUACUGUGGUCUGAGGAGCUGGAGGAAGCUGGUCUUUGUCCCUGAUGAUGCUGCACAGUCCACCACCUCUGUUGCUUCAGCACGAGAGAAAUAUUAGUGAAAGUAUCUCUUCAGAAGGGUGUAGGUACAUCCCAUUAAUGCAAGUUUAAUGGAAGAUGGUGUAAAACCACAGCAUUGUUUUCAGAACCUCUCAUCUUUAUAAGUGCCUCUGCACAGGUAAUUGCAGACUUUAAAGAUAAGAUCUCCUGGUAGUGCUACUGAACACAUAUGCUUGUGUCUUAGCAUAAUGUUCUUUGCAAGGGCUUUGGAGAUCAAAGACAGUCUGGGCUUGAUUGGAAACCAAUUAGCUACUGCUGUGUGGACCUUUGAAAACUAACAGGAUUUUUAUUUCCUGUAUCCUUUGAUCCCCCAAAUGAGCAAUAUAAAGAAAAGGGAAAGCAGAACAAAAGAACAGAUGUACCAAGCAAAGACUGAAAAGGGAAAGCAAGAAUGUGCCUAUAGGUUAGUUGGAUAGUUUAGAGAAAAAGUAAAAAUCAGGAUGCUGGAUUAGAAAGCCCCAACAAGCUACAAGCAUAAGCAAUGCAUCUGUCAGCUCAGUAUCUUUGUGACUUAGAAAGUCACCUAAACAGAGUUGUAAUAUGGAUUAUGUAUGGAUGUCCACAGGAGGGAUUUGGUUUUGCUCCAUAUGCAACCAGGAUUACUUGUGCAGCUGAUGCUACUUCUCCAGCAGUACACUGCUGUACCUUUGAUCUUAUUGCCUAAUUCCUUUAGCCUUUCUCCCACCCUUUUCCUGGUUUGGCUUCAUAUUCCAGGAAGAAUCCAAUGCUGACAAGUGUGCUUUACAGCUCCAGCUCUAACUUGUAAUUUCCAGUGCUAUCAGCAGACUGUGGGCCAAGGAAAGCAGCUGCACAUCCAUUCCCUUUGGUAGCAUUUCACCCACUCCUAUGGCCCCGUUGCUGUCUGGGGUCAGCCCUUGUGCUGAGACAAUUAACACUGAGCAUCUGAAAUCUGAUAGGGCUUUAAAGCCAAGGGUGAGUGCUUGCCACCCGGUGAGAGGAGGAGAAAGGAGGGGGAGGAUGAAUGAGCUGGACCUUUUCCUUUCUCAUCCGGCACACAUUAGUGGAUCAAUGACUGAAAUGGAUGAGGGUGCUGCCGGAGUGUCACGGUGGUGUAAUGAUGUAGCUGCUAUUAAUGGCUAAGGCUCCAGCCCGGAAAUUACAGUUGAAGAAAUGGAAUCAAAAAAUGUUUCUGAGGGCUCUGAAUUGGUGAUUUGAGGACUGUAAUUUAGAGCUUGCUUUCAUAUUGCAUAAAACGGUUACUAUGCAUAUUUGGAGAAGCUUGGCUCUUAGUUAAGGAAGGAAUAAAGUCAAUAAAGUGUGCUUGAUCAUGGUUCUCCUUCCAUUCCCCAUCUAAGGUAUGACACACAAUCAGCGCUGGUGGCUCUCAAGAUCUAUUUCAUGCUUUUAAGCAGAUCUGUUUGCUGUGAGGAAAUGUACCGUCAGCCCUCUGGCUGUCUGGAUUUAGAGCAGAUGUACAAAAUAUUAUGGUUUAUAUAGCCUGUGAGCUCAGCAUAUUUCAAGAUCAAAUUCCUAUUACACUAAAAUAACUGGCAAAACCAUGAUUAUCUUCAGGCAGCCUGGAUCUAGACGCAGUAAAAAACCCCACAACAACUGACCAGAAAUCCCAAAGGAAAAGCUCUUUGUCUUCCAAAGCUCUUUGUCUUGCUGAAAUCUGCUGUUUUCAGGUAAAUCCAAGACUGAUACGAGGAUCCAACAGGUUUUUUUCCAUAUUGACUUUCCUUGGGCUCUCUGUAAUGAGACAGGUCAGAGGGGAGAGCAUGAAGGGAGGGAGUUCAGCCACUUCCUUGCUGAAAAUGAUGCAAAGGGAUGUGAUCUGCUUCUGAGCCACUAAAUAGUGAAUAUAUAGAAGUCUGUAAAGGAUUUCUGUAAGAGCACUGUUUCCACUCACAUCUUUCAGACUAACCUACUUGCUGCUGUCUGCUCUGAGGCCUUUCCCUCCAUCCCUGCUGCGGGUGGCUGCUGAGGCUGUGCUUGCCCUUUCUGCAAGCAGCCGAGGGCAGAGCAUCCAGCAUGGACUGGGUCAAACAACCAACCAGACCACUCGGUGGCUAAUAACUGGUCCUGAAACACUGUUCCCACUUAAAACUGGCAGCAGUCAGGCCUGCUGAGGUGAGGCAAGAGGAACUCUGCCCUUCAUAUGCUUUGCCUGACAUUGCCGAGGCACCCGCUGGUCCCCCCUCCCAGCUCUUUCUGCCUACACAUUAAUUUUCUGCAGCUCUUUAGUGGAAGCUUCAAUGCAUUCCAAAAGGGUUUUCCUCUAAUUCCACUCUUUUUUCUGUGCUUCCUAAAUAGCAGGAGCUGCCUGAUGAGGCAGCUCGGCGUGAGCAAGGAGAGGAGACCAUGAGGUAAACAGUGAACUGCGGGCAUAAAUAUUUCAGAAACCUGUGUCAGCAUUAAAGGCUUGGCUGCUGCUAUUCCUCCUGAGGGGUCAGGUUGCAAGAAACCUCUUCUUCAUCCCCCAGCAUCUGCCUUGCUCAUGAACACAUCCAAAGUGCACAAUGAAUUUCAGGGAUGGGGGAAGCAGGAGAGCAAAGUGUUUGCACUAAUAAAACAGUCCUUGUAAUUCCACCUUGUCUCUGGCUAAUUAAAGCUUAUACAGCCAGUUCAUCAUCACUCAGAGGCUGCAGAUCCUGCUCAUUGCCAGCCGUUAAACACAGCCCAAUGUGUAUCUGACUGGUUGAUUGUAAUUGAAUGGGCCUCUGUGAGCCCCGUUCCACACGGCUGCAUGGACGCUCACCGGUGGUGGUUUAUAAUGAUAAUGGGCACAUCAGCAGUUUGACCCUUUUCUAAACAACUGUGUCAUAAAAGAUGCUUUGCUGCAACUGGUAUUUAUCUCAAAAUGCACAUUAUAGAAAAAAACUGUAACACUCCACCCGAAUGAUCCAAAACAAGGAGUCAGUGGACCCUGGAGAUUCCUGCGGCGCUGGUUUAAGUGGUUGCUCUCUCCCAUUGCCCCCAGCUUAUCUGUCCCCAGAGCAGAGGCAGCAGAAGGGGAUGAUACAUCUGCUCUUCACUUACCCCUGUUCCCAGACCAGUUACUACCCUAAAUACAUCUGGCAUAUCCUGCACAACUGUAGCGCAUCUGUGCUGCACUGCAGGAUGGACAAGCCUCAGUUUUCAGCUUUUGUGAAGAUGGGAACAUCUUUGCUGUGCUUGAUUUUAAUAAGAGUUGGAAUCCAAGUCCUCUUAAGCAGCCUGUUAGUGCAAAAUACUGUGAAAAAGAACUUGUGAAACCACUGGAGACUGUGGGCUGUACCAUGCAGCUAUGCACUCCCUAAAAGUCACAUUGGGCCCAAAUACAUACACAAAAAGUAUCUUUAAAUACUCAAACUGUGUGAGUUAGAGUAUGUGCCAUCUUUGGAGCUCUUUCUAUGGAUGGAUUCAAGCAGUGGGACUGCCCUGUAAAUAAGAAGGUUGUUCACAGUCUGACUAAACUUCAUCUAACAUUUAUGUCUUCUAAAUGUGCAACCAUCAGGUUGCCUAGAGAAAAGGAAGUGGAGCAAAUUGUUGAGUUCUGGGUUCAUCUGAGGGCUCAUGGGUUCCUCUUGUGCCCUUGAGAGCUCAGCCACCCUCAGUGCACCGCAGCCCUGCAGCCAUGAGGCAAAACAUCCUCACUGUGUUCCUGGAAGGAAAAAUGCUCUCAGAGUCUCAAGGUUCAGAGACUUUGCUGGUGGAGCAUGGGGCAUUUUAGGAAAGUUUGGUAGUAUUUAGUGUAAGAUGAGAGACAGGAAACAUCCAGCUGCCCAACAGAUGGUAUGGCCAAAAUUAAGUCUGCACACUAUCAACUAAAGCUACUGCCCUGCCCUUCAGGAGCCUCAUUUCAUCGAUUGACCAGUGGCUCCAAGCUGGGCUGAUAUUGAACACUUCUAACCCCUGUCUCGGGUAAUACAGUUUCUUUAGCCACUGUGUGGAGGAAAACGCUGAUUAUAUUGCCUUGCUCAGUGCUAAUUUUUCCUUCUGGUUCUGAUUAUGCAGAAUGAUGCUGCUAAAGAGAACGUUAGAAAGUCAAUCAACCAUUGCAAAAGAUACAGUAAAAGCCUAUUGUAAAAAUCUUUCCUUCCUUAUUUCUAUUUUAUUCCUCUGUCUGCCUCUCUCUAUAAACUCACCCGACUAUAUUUACAUUCAAAUAUAUAAUCCACAUGAUUUUAAGCUGCUUUGUGGAAGUUAGUUAAUUUCUUUACUUGAUGUAUCUUGAGACAAUAUAGCCAGUAUGUGGAUUUUGCUUGUUAGGCCCACUGCUUAGAGAUAAAUUAUUACUUUUUGGUUUAAUGUGUAAUAUAUUGACUUUUAAUUAAUAGUACAGAUAAUACUGGACAAUUCUUGUUUCUUCUUUUGGCCUUUUUCCACUUAGCAUGGGAACUGGAAAAAUCAGGCUUACCAUAUUCAAAGAAAUUCAGCAAUACGUUCCUUCUGACACUACGUAACUCUCAAGGUUGGUUUCAUUCCACAUAGAAAAUAAAAAUAAGGCUAAUACGUAUUAUACGAAACCAUAAAGGGAAAAGCACAGAACUGCCACAAUGGUCCCAGCUUCUUGUUCUCUAAAGGUCAGCUGUGAGGAUGUGAAACAGCAUUGUAUUACCAGUGCAAAAGAAGCUGAAACACAAGAGAAAGUAUUGAAAUAGAAAGAAAAAGAAGGCUUGAAGAAUUCCAGGUCAUCAUAUUGUAGUUCUCAGAACAUUUAGUUGCUCUGUAAAUACUGCUUAAUUAAAUGUACUCAGAUUGACAGCAAUAUUUAACUCCAAUUGCAUUAGAACUGAAUCACUACCUGCAAUAUUAAUUCCAGAUACCGCAGAAGAAGCAAACUAGGAGUAGGUCUGAUUUUACAUCCUGAUCAAGAAUUUAUGCUGUAGAUCCAAACGUAUCGAGUCAAAGGACAAUGUUAAUUUAUCACAAGGUCACACAGACCUCUACUGCCUUGAUUCAUGUUCUCUGCUCCCAGCUUCACAGAAGACCUGUGUAAAGGCCAACUGCUUAGUCUGAAUGUCAUGAAGAAGAAUGUGGCAAAUAUGGUCACCCCUUCAUAUUUUAGCUUCCUAGAGAAAUCUGAUACUACAUCAAACAGAUAUUUAUCUUGGAUGCUGUGGGAAGGGCAUUUUAGUGCAUGGAGCAGUGGCUGAAAUCUGACAUUACAACAGAAAAUGGACUGAUGAUCUGUAGCAAAUGAAGGUCUGUCAAUCAGAUGAAAUGUCCAACCCUGCUGAACUAAAUGAGCUUGUUUGUCACUGUAAUUAUGUAGCCUUACAAUGAUAAGGUAUUACAGAUAAAUGUCUAACUCAGUGCCAGAAACCGCUCUGCAGAAACCCAGUAUAUUUAAUUACAAGAGGAGGAAAAAAAAGGUUCCUCUAUUUCAUGAUCUACCCACCCCUGCAAUGAUUACUCCAGGGAAAUUCCCACUGAAGCCAAGCAGAUGGUUCCUACCUUGUUGUACGCCCAGCUUAUUUUCUUUUAAGCUAUGAAGUGGUUUACAAUGCCAUUUUUCUCUGGAGCUGCCUUGCAUUUGGCAGGCUUCAGACUGUGUGUGAAUUCCUUUUUACUGUAUAUGUGAAUGGAUUUCUUAGUUUCUUUUUUACCUCAAAUAACAAAUCCCACUUUGGAUUCAUAUAAAUAAGGACAUGAAUCAGACAAGUCUCUAGUCCAAACAUGGUUUCAACAAGAUGACUCCCACUGACUUUGUUGCAAGGGAGUUAAUAACCAGAUUUAACAUCUCUGAGACAUGUCGUCCCUGGUGCAUUUCCGGAAACAUCCAUGUUGACUCUUAAAGACUCAUCUAUGGAUCAAUGUUGUAUAUUUCUGCUUCUGAGCAAUCCCUUACUCCCGUUCUGCACAGAUACGUAAGUUUGCAGCAAACCUGAACAGAUGUUAGUUGGAUGAGGGAGCUGUCUGCUUUCUCUGUGCCUGCUGCGAACCUAUAUUGGUCCAGAGGGCAGGAUGAAAUCCAUCUGUGAUACUCUCCGAGGCAAACUUUGCCCUCGUAUCAGAAGCCAGCUCAAGCCCUACUCACUGUUCAAGGGUUUUACCCAGGACAGAGGUGCGAUACUGGAUUGUUCUCAGCAGAAGGGUGAAUUUCUGCUAUUUCUCCUUUCUUCUUAACAUCCCAGGUUAGCAAGGCUUUCACAAGUAUCAUAGAGAUUUUGUAAAACUGAUGAACACUGAUGACAUCUCUUGAGAAACUUUUCUUUAAGUCAAAUCUCUGUAAAACUAGAAGUAACCAGAUUAAAGGCUACACCUAAAUUGGCAGUGUCUGGUCAGGGAAUGGUAUAUACUUUAUCUGAUUUGAGACUAUGUAGCUCCAAGGAGUUCUUUAAAGAAAGAUAAAUCAUUAAUCCCCACAAUCAGUUCAGAGCAGCCAGUAAAGAAGAUAAAGUUCUUGUGUCUUUGUGCCACACAUACCUCCAGGCAUCUUCUAACAGAUUUCUCUGCAGCUUGAAUUCAGCUCUCUACUUCAGAGUCAGAGAUUCAGAGGGAAGCUGUGUUUGGAAGCAAAGAAAAUAGUUGAAAUCUCUCAUGAGAUAUAGUUUAAAAUAGAUACUAUUGGGGGGAAAAAGAGGUUAUCUGCAAGCAUUAUGGUGUUUUUCUCUGAUAUCCAUUAAAAGCACACGCAAUACCUGGAUGACUUAACCUGUGACCAUUAUUUAUUGUACCCCACUUUUUCUCCAGAGUGAAUGCCUGAAUUCGAAUCUUCCAUUUAUUGCUAAGUGCACUUCUGGGAAGGGUAAAUAGAACAGCAAAGGCCUGGGUCCCCGGGCAAGAAGCACACAGCAAUCAAACCCAGAAAGUAGAAAAGUGGCUUUAAGUGUCCUCUUUGCUCCCUGGGCCUGGGCUGGCUGUAUAAGGCUGGCCCCAGUGGAAAUUAAAAGACCCCAAAGCCUGCUCUCUCCUCCAAUAAUUUACUUCCAUCUCUCACUUUAUACUGUGGAUUAAAGAACCCCUUUGCAGGCUUUGGGAAUUACAACAUUCACCCAGGAAUGGCUCCAGCACAGCGAUUUGUGUGGUGCAUGAUUUGUGUGGUGCAGUGAUUUGCGUGGUGCAGUGAUUUGCAUGGUGCAGUGACUUGCCACACAGCACCUUUAAUGUAGAAUUACGGCAAUGUUCAAAGCAAGUUGAAACAGCUCAGUGGUUUAUACAUGUUUGCAUUCCCCUCUGCCUCCCUGUACCAAGCCAGGAUGUCUCCUUCACUUUGGACAGUAAUGAUGCAGGGAAACCCAAUAAUAGCUCUGUGUCCAGCCUUCCCCCAGGCAUGUUUUCACUCUCAUCAUUCAAUGGGAGGACAGAUGGAAAUACGAAUUAGGAGUGAGAGAUGCUGCCAACUCUCAGAAGCCCAUUGAGGGAAGGGCUUCUGAGAGAAGGUCAUCCUUUCUAUUUGUUUCCUGCCUCAGGAAACCUCUGAAACAAGCUCAGAAGAUUUGCAAGAACAGUUAUGAGUGUGUGCCUAUGAACUGAAGCUUGGCCUAGCAGCACCAUACAAGGCUGUUGCUUCAGCUGCUGACCCCAAGCACAAAGCACAGCUGAUUUUUAAGACAUGAUGGUGACUCUCUGACACAUAAGCAUCUGGUCUGGCUCCACUAUCAUUUUAUGCUGGUCAGACAACAUGAGGCUUUCUGGGGAAAAGCACGUGCACUGUGUUGCUGAAUCUCACAAACCCCACAGUUUUCAGUGUUAAAACAGUUGGACUUGGAAGCUAAACUUGGGUGAAUUCUUCUGAAGAGGAAAGCAGAUACUUUUAGUUGUUUGAAUCAUUAAACUGUACUUAAAACAAGGAGGGAAAAGUCUCACAAGUCUUGUUUAAUGCAAGCUGCUAUUCUAGGUUUCAUUCCUGCCCCAGCUGGUAUUUCCUGCUCUCCAAAACACAGAGGAAAGGUAAGGCAUUUUUUAUUGGGAUUUAUCUGAAAGAUGAAUCCUUAAACUCUGCUAUGGCAUGAGGAGUACAGGUGCCUGGAGUAGCUGCUACCUGCCCAGGAGUGCGUGUUGUGCUGACAGCCCUGCUGAGCAACGAGUAGAGGCUGCUAUUCCAUAAAUCUAUCUCAGCUGUGUCCAAGACAAAUCUAAUAUAAGCUUUAUUUUUGAGCAUUUAAGUGGGGAAAAGCCUUGCUUUUGUUUUCUGCACAAGAAGUAAGCUGCCAGCAGCUGGAUCUGCCUGUUCCACCAUGGCUGAAAAGUAACAUGAAUUCAACCAUCAAAUCACAGAUUUCUUUUAGAGUCACUCCCUCACAUUGCCAGUAUUGAAUGGGCAGGUUCCCAUCUUAACUUUCUAAGUUCAGCAGUUUGCAGCAGUUUAUCUCUUCUAACUCUUUGCCCCUCAAGCUCUUUUGGACUGAAACAGCUCUAAGCUCCUUGCAGUUCAUUCACUGGGGCUCCCAGCUUGGCGGAAUACCAGACUGAUGCCAGGAUGGCCAUGGCCAUGGGAUUUUUUUAAGGACGUUUAGUUCCUACCAUCUGUCUGUUGGCUCAACUCUAGGAAAUUUAGAUUGUGUUGCCUUCCCAAAGUUGUUUUUUCCCCCUUGGACUGCUGUCAGGAUAUGCAAUCUGUCUCUGUGAGUGUUCCAGUGAGACAGUACUCGAGAUGCAGUAAAAUGCCUCCGACUCUUACAUGUG